AACUUAAAGGAAUUGACGGGGCCCGCACAAGCGGUGGAGCAUGUGGUUUAAUUCGAUGAUACGCGAGGAACCUUACCUGGGCUCAAAUGUAUGUUGACGUAUUCUGAAAGGGAUACUUCUUCGGACAAUAUACAAGGUGCUGCAUGGUUGUCGUCAGCUCGUGCCGUGAGGUGUCGGGUUAAGUCCCAUAACGAGCGCAACCCCUAUCAUUAGUUGCCAGCAGUUCGGCUGGGCACUCUAAAGGGACUGCCGGUGUUAAACCGGAGGAAGGUGGGGAUGACGUCAAGUCCUCAUGGCCUUUAUGACCAGGGCUACACACGUACUACAAUGGCCGAUACAAAGGGCAGCGACACUGCGAGGUGAAGCCAAUCCCGUAAAAUCGGUCUCAGUCCGGAUUGGAGUCUGCAACUCGACUCCAUGAAGUUGGAAUCGCUAGUAAUCGUGAAAUCAGAAUGUCACGGUGAAUACGUUCCCGGGCCUU
rnacentral:rRNA from 1 species